rnacentral:rRNA from 1 species
AGCAGCCGCGGUAAUUCCAGCUCCAAUAGCGUAUAUUAAAGUUGUUGCAGUUAAAAGGCUCGUAGUUGAAUUUCGGGGUUAGUAGGUUGGUCAUGCCUCUGGUAUGUACUGGCCUCACUGAUUCCUCCUUCCUGAUGAACCGUAAUGCCAUUAAUUUGGUGUUGCGGGGAAUUUGGACUGUUACUUUGAAAAAUUAGAGUGUUUAAAGCAGGCUCACGCUUGAAUACAUUAGCAUGGAAUAACGAAAUAGGACGUUUGAUUUUAUUUUGUUGGUUUCUAGGAUCGACGUAAUGAUUAAUAGGGAUAGUUGGGGGCAUUAGUAUUCAAUUGUCAGAGGUGAAAUUCUUGGAUUUAUUGAAGACUAACUACUGCGAAAGCAUUUGCCAAGGAUGUUUUCAUUAAUCAAGAACGAAAGUUAGGGGAUCGAAGACGAUCAGAUACCGUCGUAGUCUUAACCAUAAACUAUGCCGACUAGGGAUCGGAUGAUGUUAAUUUUUUAAUGUACUCAUUCGGCGCCUUA